rnacentral:rRNA from 1 species
GAAUUUUGGACAAUGGGCGAAAGCCUGUUCCAGCAAUGCCGCGUGCAGGAUGAAGGCUUUCGGGUUGUAAACUGCCUUUGUACGGCACGAGAAGCUUUGGGUCCAUACCCUGGAGUCCUUACGUUACCGUAAUAAGAAGCACCGGAUUACUACCGUCCAGCAGCCGCCGUCAUACGUCGGGUGCAAGCGUUAAUCGGAAUUACUGGGCGGAAAGCGGGCGCAGGCGGUGUUGGAAGACAGGGGUGAAAUCCCCGGGCUCAACCUGGGAACUGCCUUUGUGAAUGCAAGGCUAGAGUACGGCAGAGGGGGGUGGAAUUCCGCGGGUAGCAGGGAAAUGCGUAGAUAUGCGGAGGAACACCGAUGGCGAAGGCAACCCCCUGGGCCUGUACUGACGCUCAUGCACGAAAGCGUGGGGAGCAAACA